AUUGAACGCUGGCGGCAUGCUUUACACAUGCAAGUCGAACGGCAGCGCGGGCUUCGGCCUGGCGGCGAGUGGCGAACGGGUGAGUAAUGCAUCGGAACGUGCCCAGUAGUGGGGGAUAGCCCGGCGAAAGCCGGAUUAAUACCGCAUACGACCUGAGGGUGAAAGCGGGGGACCGAAAGGCCUCGCGCUAUCGGAGCGGCCGAUGUCGGAUUAGCUAGUUGGUGGGGUAAAGGCUUACCAAGGCGACGAUCCGUAGCUGGUCUGAGAGGACGACCAGCCACACUGGGACUGAGACACGGCCCAGACUCCUACGGGAGGCAGCAGUGGGGAAUUUUGGACAAUGGGGGCAACCCUGAUCCAGCCAUGCCGCGUGCGGGAAGAAGGCCUUCGGGUUGUAAACCGCUUUUGUUCGGGAAGAAAUGCUCUGGGCUAAUACCCCGGGGGGAUGACGGUACCGGAAGAAUAAGCACCGGCUAACUACGUG
rnacentral:rRNA from 1 species